CAGACGUUUUUCAGGCGUGUCGAAAUGCUGGUCGCGCUUGCGUCCGUAUGUCUUCAUCGUGUUUCGUCGUUGUGGUAUAGUCACGGUUGGGAGAUAGCGAGCGUGCAACAGUAGAAUAGAACUUAUUGAGUAACGCGUUGUAGAAAGUGAGCGAAAGUGAUAGAGUGUCAUGAUAAAAUAGUACCGAGUGGACAGUCGAAUCUUGUAAUUGAAAGUUGGAUAAAAAGGUUCGUUCACGACAAAGGUGUUGGAAGAAGUGGAUCGUGAUUGGUGAAUCUUAGACGGCCAUAAUUGUGCGCCAUUCGGUCUCCAGUGCAGAUCCGCGCAGCGAAAGGGCAGAUGCCCUUACGCGGUUCGUGCUCCCAUUGGUGGGUACGCACUGAUCUAUCCGGAUCGACAUACUUGGCAAGAUCCGGUAGUGUUAUUCGCAGUGUAUAUUCAAAUUGGGUAAAUUCGCAAACUAUAAGGACGAGCGGUCAGCCACCACCUCCUCUCGGAGACGACAAGUCUUUUGGCCGUACGAGUCACCAGUUCGGUAGUGGUGAAUGGUGAGUGUGAUUUCUGUGGUCUAGCAGCAACAUUAGCAAUCGCAGCGCCGUCAACAACACGACGACAACGACAACGACGACAGUAGCGCCAUCAUCAGCGCGACCGCCAUCGCAGCAAGAAGAAACAGUAUUCCUUCGAGGAGAGAAAGAAGAAAUGCCUGUAGGUUCGCGAUCGGUGACGCGAGCAAAGAUGGAGGCCCCGUCCAGUUUGUAACACGGCAGCCAAGUCUCGUUUAAAGCGCACCAACGGAGCCACGGAGAGCGCUCCUCGAGUCGGCUGCCUAAAGUCGCGUUUUGCCCCGUGCUACUUUUCUUCGUGAGCCCCGCGAGGCUAGAGGAUGGAGCUACGCGUUGGAAAUAAGUACCGGCUCGGACGGAAAAUCGGGAGCGGCUCCUUCGGCGACAUUUAUCUAGGUACCAAUAUUUCCACCGGCGAGGAAGUCGCCAUCAAGCUAGAAUGUAUAAAAACGCGGCAUCCGCAGUUACACAUAGAAUCCAAGUUCUACAGAAUGAUGCAAGGUGGUGUUGGUAUACCAACUAUAAAAUGGUGUGGCUCAGAAGGUGACUACAAUGUAAUGGUAAUGGAGCUACUUGGUCCAUCACUGGAGGAUCUCUUUAAUUUUUGUUCAAGAAGUUUUUCUUUGAAAACGGUCUUGCUUCUCGCCGAUCAAUUGAUAUGUAGAACGGAUUACAUUCAUAGUCGCAAUUUUAUCCACCGGGACAUCAAACCAGAUAAUUUUUUGAUGGGCUUGGGAAAGAAGGGAAAUCUCGUGUAUAUUAUAGAUUUCGGAUUGGCUAAGAAAUACCGCGAUGGCCGUACUCACAAACACAUACCCUAUCGAGAAAACAAGAAUUUAACAGGAACAGCCAGAUAUGCGAGUAUUAAUACACAUCUGGGAAUUGAACAAUCACGACGAGACGACCUUGAAUCCUUAGGGUAUGUUCUUAUGUACUUCAAUAGGGGUAGCUUGCCCUGGCAAGGUUUGAAAGCGGCGACUAAAAGACAAAAGUAUGAACGUAUUUCUGAAAAGAAAAUGUCUACGCCUGUCGAAGAAUUAUGCAAGGGUUAUCCUGUAGAGUUUGCGUCAUACCUAAGGUAUUGUCGAGGACUACGAUUUGAAGAAAGGCCUGACUACUCGUAUCUUCGACAACUCUUCCGGACGCUGUUCCACGGUCAGGGCUUCACAUACGAUUACGUCUUCGAUUGGAAUAUGCUGAAAUUUGGUAACGUGAGGCAACAAACAUUAUCUUCGACGCAACAAACACCUAUGCAGUCACAACACACGAACGUGGCGCUGCCUUCUGGGACCAAUAACGAUCAGGAACAUCGAUCUAGGCCCUAUACACGGCAGUGUUUGGCAAACAUAUCAGUGGGAACGGUGGGCCCGACUGUGGGUGGAACAACCACGAAUUUGAGAAGCAUGCGGCAAAAACGCGAGGCGAUAGACGCUCUUCGUGAUCAGGACAAUCAGGAGAGCGAUCUUCAAGUGAAUCGUUACUCGUUUGCUCGCAGUGACCAAUCUCGAACCGACGAAAAGAAGCCCCUCGAGAUCCCAGAAAGGUUACCAAAGCUUAGAUAGAGACGCUAAAGCAUAGUUUUCUACUUCUUCUAGCCGCGCGAAUCGCAGUCUCGAGGGCUUCUUUCGUUCGACAGGUCCUCUGAAACUCCGAUGAUUCGGUGACUUCUUCCUAACCGCUGGAUCCUGAGCAUCGUCGUUAAGUUUUUUCCUUGAUUAUGCAUAUAUUUUUCUUGUUCACCUUAUUUUUCUUCUAUCAUCUAUCUUCCUUCUGUGUAUUUCUUUCUCAUCCAAGGAGCCUCCGGCAAUUGCGCAUCUGUUUGUAAUCAUUCUGUUUUUUAAUUGAUAGUGACGAUGGUGAUGAUGAUGAUGAUGAUGGAGAGAAAGUAGUAAAUAAAUGUUUUUCCAUUCAAGGACUGGUCUCUUUAUUUAUUUCACCACACGACAUUGUCGAUAAUCCUCGUCAAAAUUUUCUUCUCACUUGGCUUGAAUGGAAAAACCAACUUGCUGUGUUCCUCGAGAGAAAUAUCAUUUCCACUCGAUCACGAUCGCGGAUAAUGUCCAUUCUUUUUUUUUUCAUUUUUUUUUUUUUAUUUUUUCAAUCCUAAUCGCAUCAUCUGUCUUCACGUUAUUACGUAUUUUUGUCAAUAUACAACUUUUUCCAUUUCAAUUGCCAAGCGUGAAAUAUCGUUCGUCGUCCCUGUAUCAUGUGGUCGAUCCUUUCUACGAUCGAUCUUGUAAGAAAAAUCCAGAAAUUCAUCGCGUUUUUUCUACGAGAAUAUAAACUUUCACCAACAAUAGAGUAGGCGGUUUUCUACGAAAAUUUCGAUCUUCACGGUGAUCGUUAUUCCUACAAUUAUGUUUCGCCGAAGAAACACGACAAAGGCUAUAGAAUACCAUGUCUGAAUACCCCGGGGAUCGAUUUUUCUUUAGUCUGCGUCAACUAGCCAAGAAAGGAGCAUGUUAUUAUUGUUUCCAAUCUGAAUUCGAUACUUGGUGAAGUGAUCGAUAGAGUUCAAGGAAGCGUCGCGAUAUAAAUAUAUCCAAGCUUUUUAUCCCGAACUUGCAGAUUCAACUUCCUAUAAAUAAUUUACCGUGUUUUUACUGCAUAGGUUAAUAGAGUAGUUUGAAUAGAUCUUAGUGUUCCCUUGAACUGUGCUCGAUAGUCGUCAGGAUCCUCGAACGAGCGACAUAUCGUCUCAAAACUUGUCUCGUAUGUGACGCAACGUUCGCUUAUGCGUCGGGCGCAGGUGGCCAGGAACGAAGAGUCAGCAUGAGGUUGCACCGUAGGGACGCGGCUGCAGGAGAGAUGCAACCGAAGACCAAGUAACCGAAAGCUAAGACACUAAUUCUAAAUCGCAAAAGUAGGCAAAGAGAGGGCGAAAGUAAUCUCCUGUGCCACGGUAGCGGACACCGGCGAAAAAACUGAAAUAGUGGAUUAAGAACAUUUAAAAAUGAAACCGAAAAGAGAAAGAAAAAAAAAAAAAGAUAACAAAACAGCGUGUUCGCCUUGCGAUCCUUCUCUCUGACCUCUCGUAGCCCUGUCGCGAGUCAAAAUGAAAGUCUCGCUUCUCGAGUCUCUUGCUUUCAAGCCUUUGAUCCUGCCACGUCGCUGCAUUUCGCACAUACACACAUGUAAUGCGUGUUUCUUUCAUGUCUUUUCUCGAAAAGAAAGCUCUCUAGCAAAAAAAAAAAAAAAAAAAAAAAAAAAAAAGAAAGAAAGAAAGAAAAAAGAGAGAAAAGAAGUCACGUAGAAACGUUUAGGUCGAUCUGGUACACUCGAUCCCACGAUCGUUUGUUUCUAAACGAUCGACUUGUACGCUCCUUUCGUCGUCCAGAUUGUGCACGAGUAUCUCUCGAAGACAGGAUACGUAUUUCCUUUCGAUCGUCGAAAGAGACUCGCGGCUUCCUCUUAAAUCGAUAACCAACGAAACGAAUCUAACGACGAUCUCUCGUACGAAAUACGGAAAAGAAAGAAAGAAAAAAAGAAAGAAAAAAGAAACUCGCGAAAGUGAGUUGCAAUCGCGCGACAAUUAAACGGAGCGGAUGUAUGUAUGUAUAAAGAAAGCACGCUGACGCUGAGACAGGAAAGGACGAUAAAAGAACGAUAGAAAAGCAACACGAAGCGAUGCUCGUGGAGUAAUCAAAAUUUCCUUAAGCGGUGCAAAGAACGAACGCGACAAAGCGAUGGAAAAAGAGAUGAAAAUGGGCUGACAAACUAGAGAGAAGGAGAGGCAGAGAAAGAGAGGGCAAAGUUUUUCGGUCGUUUUUUAACGCUUCGAGAACGGUAGCGCGCUAAUGUCCGUGUUUUGUGUGUCUUUUAUUUUGGAAGCGCCAAUGCAAUGGCCCCACCCAUCCUGUUGGGCAGGCUGGCAAGCGUUCAACACAAGUGAAUCAACAACAACGGCAAUAGCUGACUUCUCUUCAUCUUCAUCUUCGUCUUCGUCCUCGUCCUCGUCCUCGUCGUUAUCGUCCUCUUCCUCAGUGAUCUAGUCGACAGUAUCAUCGUCAUCGUGAACAACAGCGUCAUCGGUAAUCACGAGUUUCGACCUUCCGAUACGACAGACACGACGGAUAGAGUUUCUCGAAAAUCGAAGGAAGACAUCGGUCGAAGAUGUCGUCUACUCUUUGUAUAUUCAAAAAUGGUAUUCCUAGACGAUCUACGAAACGUGUGCGAAUCUUCGUCGUAUCGAUGAACCAGUACGGUUCGUCGAUGAUCGUUGACGAUCUACGCGAACGUGUUCACUGGCGAGAAAGAGUUUCUCGAGGACGAGUCGCAGGAGUUUCGCGAUCGACGAUCUACGGUACAUCGUGUGUCUCCUAGGAUCGCAACAAUGGAAGAAAUCGAACGUUCUCUCGUGCAAACGAAGGAAGAUGCAAGUGUCCAGACGUGAAACGCAACUUUGCCAAAGCGGGCCAUCCAACGAGAAAUGGAAUCGUGUUUCGACUCGUAAUUGAAACGAGUCAGCGAGCUAGACUGCUCCUAAAUGUACGUGGACAUGUGUUUAUACAGCGACGAUUACACUGUGUUUAGCGAACGAACUCGAAACUACUCGUUAUAUCGAAACGAUCCUUCCACGAAGGAUUGCUGGUUUUUAGAAAUAGAGGGACGACAUAGCUCUGCGUUGUAUCGAUUAAGGACGCUUCGUGGGAGCGCGGUCCGCGAUUCUUAGGAUAGAUGGCGAGUGUACAGUACGCGACUUCGAUGAUGAUACUUGUAAUCUUCGUCUUAGCUGCAAUUGUCCGGCGAAUAUGAAAUUCUUCGUAAUCGACGAUCCUUAGAAUGUGAUUUUUCAAAAUCCAAUAGGAAACUAUGCGCGUGUCCAUGUUAAAAAGCCGUCAAAAAGGGAGAAUCUCCGUACUAUCUUUUCUGCCUAACAACAUUCCCUCGAUAUUGGGCUCGAGUUUUCAGCUUUCAGAUUCGCAGUGAUCGUUUCGACGAUCGAUCAAAGAGGAUUACGAGUAGAAUGCGGAUGUUUAUGUACAUUUACGUUCUUACGUACGCAGCCAAGAGGAUGGAACGUAGAUAGAGAUCUGUUUCGCUCUUUAUAUAUCACAAGCUCGUUAUACAGAUAUUUUAUGCUGAAUGUUUUCUAUAUUUUUACACAUUAAGUACACUCUGUACAUUUCUUUGCAUAAUUACAAUUGUCAGUAAAUCACAUUAAUAUCCGCAAUCUAACGGCGAGAACCGGCGGUCGAGCAUUAUUGUAUAAACGUGUAGAUUAUUCCCCUAUCCCAUUAACAUUAAAACACGAUUUGUACAUAGACAAAAUCGGCAUCGACGGCUGGACGACGGUUCUCGGGCGGCGAAAGUCACGCACUCGCGCAAUCAACCGGACAGACCCGCGAAAGUCAAGUCACACCGGUCGCACAAUCCAAUUUCCUUUGAGCCGAACUUGAGGAAACCAACUCGAAGUCAAGACCCGUUGCGCUAGGCGCGAUCUGUACCGGUGACACAGAACCUGUAUAUAGCGUGACUGUUUGCCGAAAUACAGAGAAAAAAGCGGAUGACUAAAGCGUGGCUGUAAGGUAAAUCCAAUAAGUCGGUUGUUUCAGUUAAGGGGGUGAUCGAGGAACGAUUAAGACGCGCCAAUAUAUAUCGAUCGAGCGUACUGUACAAUUCGUGUCGAUUCGUGUACGAAUUUCGAUCCUUUCUUUUUUUUUUGUAUUUUUUUUUCUUUUUCCUACGCGUAAUUGUCGAAUUCAUCGGUUCGGACAGAAAAGACGACCGUAGAAACGAGCGAUCGAAGAUACACGAUUAAGCUUUUCGUUGACGAGUACCUCUCCUCUCCCUGUCCAGUCUCUCGCUCUUUUCCUUUUUGUACAAUUCUGCCGAUUUUCUGGUUGCGAGAGACGAAUGUGUUUUACGAGUUUGAUAUCGUUUGUACACCAACGAUUAACUAAGAAAGAGAGAAAGGUUCGCGUGAUAGUAGAGAGCUGCCAAGAAUGGCGAAAGAUGGAUCAAAGAUUCUGUUGAUAACGAAACGAUAUCAAACUUAGUUAUGCAAGUCGUGUGUCCUGUAUGCGUGUUUCUUAUUUUGUGUUCGCGAUGGUGUGCAAUGUUGUUGCAUUUCGACCUACGUGUAUGCGUGUGCUCGAAUUGGAGAGACCCGGACAGAGGAGGGGAAAAAGGAUCAAUCUCGAACUUCCGUUGAGAGAAACGAUCGUUGGCAUAUGAGUAUAUUUCUCGUGGAUACGAUGGUUCUUGAAUCGUUCUUCUCGCAACGUGACAACGUCUGUGCUCCGUUUUGUAAUUGCAAAUGAUCCUGAAAGAUUGAUUUUUUUUAUGAAAAUCAAAACGGUCAGAGGUUGGAAACACGCAGCGAGAAGCAAACAGCUAGAUUCGAUGACCAUAAAUGGUACCUUGAGAAAUUCACCGGAAAUCGAGUUUCUCUUUAGCGCGAAUAAUUGCCUUGAUUGAUGAAAUUUCGUUGAACGUGCGACUUUAGCGAAUUAGAGUAAGAGGGAGAGAGGAUAAGGGACAAGCGCGAGAAAGUGUCCGAGAGAAAAACGCGAGAAUGCAGAAUCCUUAAUAACCGAUUGUUCUCGCGCGAGAAAUACAUUUUUUGUUUGGGAUAUAAAAAAUCGAAAGUCGUCGAGACCGUUUUAUUUACUGUGAGGUGUAUGACGGCUGAUUAAUCGAUUUGAUUCAAAUUUUGUACACGCAUACAUGUAUCAAUAUGUACAUGUAGAAUGCGUAUUAAGUAAGGAUAGGUACUAUCAUCUUUAUGUAUGUAUUGGAUAGCUUUUAUUUAUGACGCUAAUUUCGAAUUUGAAAUGUAGAAACUCCCUUAAAACUACAGCGUUGAUUAUCCGCUUGAAAUUCGAUCAUCAUCGAAUCAUCAGAAUAUAGAUUCGUUUCCUUUUUAUUACGUUAGAUUUCAUUAUAUCAUAUAUACAUAUCAUUACGUUCGUUCGUUAUAACUUCGAUUUUGUAAUAUAAUUGUACAUUCGUCAGAUGCGAACACGACAAAGAUUAAUUUAAAUUUAACAAGCCGAAGAGAAAUAAUUGAUCGCAUCGCGAGGGCCUCAAAUCUAAAGAAUGGUAGUCUAGGGUGAAUCUAUUCUACCAAUUCUCAAUGAAAACUUGACUAUUUGUAUAGCGUAUAAGAAGGUAUUAAACUCUAGAUGAAAAUUAUAGAAGCAUACGUUAAUUGUUAACGAAAUUUGAAUCAAAUCAAAGAUCUAGCGGCCGUUUAUUCGUUUUUGUAGGUAAGAGCCGGUUUAGUCAACGGAAGUAAAGAUCGAAGCGAAACUCCUUCCGUGAAAUCGCCCGUGUCUCCCCUUUUAUCCUUCCACUUUUCAACCUCACUUCACCAUUUUUACCCUUCCAUCAGCCUCUGUCACUUCCUGUUGCCGCCCUCCUCCUCCCUUGACCGACCUUGUCUUGUAUAAAGUAUCGUGGGCGCAUUACAUACAAAAAAGAUGAAAAACAAAAAAACGUGAUAUAAAAAGAAGGUUAUAUAUAAAUAUAUAUUAUACCGACACGUGUUUUUCUAUGUAUUUUUUUCAUAGGGUACUACUACUGCUAUUAUUAUUACUAUUACUAAUUAACUAUUAACUAAUUAAACUACUACCAACUAGUACUACCAUUACUACCGCUGCUGCUAUCGCUAAUUACACUUACACUUACACACACACAACACACACACACACACACAAAAUUUACUAUGUUGUAACUUGUAUAAAAAGGACGAUUUAUUCUGCAACGAUCCUCUCGAGACGGGAACGAAAUGAAAUUGCAAAGGCAUCUUCAUUCGACGAUUCAAAAUGGAAACGACGAAUCCAUCGCACGGAUCUCUGCGUAUCGCGAUCUUUUCUUUACCGUUUCCUUUCGUUCCUUUCGAUCUCGCGCAUCCUCCGCGCUCGUGUUCCGCCUGGUUAAAUUGUAGUAUAAGAAGAAGGACGAGAAUAUUUUUGUUUGUUUGUUUUUUGUUAAACAUUUCAGCCAAGUUUGUUCAGCUACGAUCCGUUUAUCUAUUAGCGGGGUAAAAGGGGAGGUAAAAUAGUUUUAUGCAACGCUAAAUCGUACUAUGAUUGCGUUUUACAUUUUGUUACGUUUUACGAUUACUACUCAUGUGAUGGGUAUAAUCUUGUUACUAACUUAGUUCUAUAUCGGAAUUUAUCUUUAUUUGGUUUGUAAAAUUCUCGACUGUUACACAAUUAUCUAGAUGUUUAAUCGUAGUUAUCGUUUUACACGCGCGCAGAGGAUAAACCAUUAUUAUUUUGCGUGAUGGAAGCGAUAGAAGGCGUUGAAGCUUGAACAGGCUGUAAUCGAAUUACGUUUCCAUCGAUAUUAUUACGAACCUGAUUAAUAAUCACUAACGGGAAAUAUCGUAUGGCGACACUGUUCUAAAGCAUUGUUAAUUUUAUGAAGUGGUAUUUGUUGUGUCGUCAUCGUGUAUUUGUUGUAUCGUUAUCUUUACGAUUGUUGUUCGAUAUUGACGCUUCGAUGUCUUCAAUCGUCGUCUUGCUUAAUCUUUUUUCUUUUUUUUUUUCUUUUUUCUUCUUUUUAAUUAACACGCGUAAUCUUUCUGUUUCUCAGAAAAUGUUUUUAAUUCGAUCGUAUCCAUGUUGCGUUAGUUGGUAUUAGGUGGCCGAUGACCUUGAAUUCGGAAUAUGAUUAAAAAUAGAUUGUAAAUUGUGCAAUCAUCAAGCGUUAAAAUUCACGAGCGAGAAAAUAUUGAGUUAAAGCGUCGAAACUAGAGGUAAUUUUGUGAUCGUUAGGCUUAGAUGAUUUCCGAUGAUGGCCAUCGAAUCGAGGAUCGUUUCGGAAUUUUAAUGCAGAAGGAACAAACACUGCCAGCGCGAGCGGAAAUUCUUGAGUUCUAUCUCAUGACUAAACGAUACGCACGGAAUUAAUCUUGUCACGAUUCGUCGUUUCCUCCUUGACCAUUGCGUGGUCGCGAUAUUAACGCGAAGUCUUUGCAAAGAAAUAAACAGAAAAGAAGAAACAGAAACGAGAGGAGAAGCGCCAGCGCCCGGUAUUUCCUUCCCCCCUCCCCCCUCUCUUUAUUGUACAAUGAAUUACCUUUACGCCGCACGAAAUGCAGUUUAAACGUUGUUUUUUCAGUUCUCUGUGUAUCCGAAUUGAACAGAAAGUUCCAGCACGAUUUUUAAUUUCAAUUUACUCGAAAUGAAAAGAAUCUGAAGAUAGUCGUUGGUGCAAAUUGAGCCGAUUAAAAGCGACGUGCUGGCUAAUAAAUUCGUUGAUGCUUUGAAUCGAAGUGAAAUGAGAAAGAAAAAGCGUAGAAUAGAAAGGAAAUGAUAAAGAGAAAAGAUCGUGCGCGUUUGAUUUCGCUCGGCCUAGCGGAGUUUCUUCUUUUUCUUCUUCUUUGCCUUUUUCUCCUUCUUUUCCUUCCUCUUCUACUUCUUCUCCUUCUUCUUCUUCUUCUUCUUCUCGAGCGUAAGGAGUCUAUUGGAUUCACACGAGACUCCUUAAAAUGGAGAAGAACCGCGGAAAGAAAAAGAAAGAAAGGAAGGGAAAGAGAGGAAAAGAAAAGCAAGAGCAAACUAAAGAACAUGUGUUGACUGGUCUGCGGCACGAGUAGGGAAGCGUCUACGAAGACCUUCAUCGACGAGGCGUCACGACGAUCACGGCAUUGAGGUAUAAUUCGCGAUCAAUCGUAUUUUAAAUAUACUAAUCGAAAUUGUAUGGAUUGCGAAUGGUUUGUAUAUGUACAUAUAUACAAUUAUCAUGAUCUAUUCAAGGGAAAAUAACUAUAAAUCGUGAACGAUGUAUGUAUGCGUGUAUAGUAUAUGUUUGCGAAUGAUCGGUGAAGUUCUCUUCGUGUAUGGAUUGCGAGAAACUUAUUCGAACUGUACUACAUAAUGCGUGCAACAAGUAUGCGUGGACGAUAUAAGAAAGAAAGAGUGGGAGAAAACAAUUAGGUGAAAUGUCCGAAGAAACAAAGCAACACCGACAAAGAGUAUUAUAAAACUGCCUUUGUGUACUAUAUGUGCAAGGAGAAACAAAGUGAAGCGUUUCUAGCCGUCAAGAGUUGAGCUGCUUUAGCCUUGCUUUCCUUCUUCUUCUUCUUAUUCUGUUUCACCAUCUUAUCAUUGUGUUUACUUGCGUGUUGCAACUCUUGUUUCUGCAAAAGAAAAAGAGGCGUAAGAGCAGGAUUACGGAUCGGUAGAAUAGAAAGAACGUGUGCUUGAGAAAAGUCGAGAGAAAGAAAUAGUUUUACGCAUAAUUCGUUUGUGUGUAUAUGCGUGACUUUUGCGUGUGCCGAGAGGAACCGCGGAGGGAAACACGAUAUUCGUGGCUUUCGUUGCAUUCUAGUACGAGUCUUUUCGUUUUUCUUCAUCGCAUACGACAACAACAACAACAACAAAGACUCUUGCCAUCUUUGAGACUCGGCCUUUGCUUGCAUUCACGUUUUCUUUCUUUGUAGGUUGAUGAAAAGCACGAGCGGCUAACUGAUCGACUAAACGUCUAGGCUAACCACACGGAUUUAGUCGUCGAGUUUAAUCCGUUGACGAGAGUUUGAGGGGAAAAACGCUUAGCCGGAACGGCGAGCGUAAACGAGAGUCAAAGUGUCUCAUUCAAUUACAUUUCUAAGGAUCUUCUCCAUUUUCUCCUUGGAACCGAGUUCUCACUGUAGAAAAAAAGCCGAAUAUAACACCGACGCUUUCGCCACACGUUUCUUUCUUAGUUUCUCGUCGUGUGUUUGUAUAUUGUGCGUGUACAAUCUUCGAGGAUGGCAAGAGCGUACAGGUCGGAAGAAAGGAAAAAAGAAGGAAAAUGGGAAUCAGAGAAGAUUUAGACCUGCGCUUUGAGUAUCGAUUGAUCGAUCGAAUCUGGGCGUUUGAAUAUAAUGCAGAAGAAAAGCAGGAAUAAUUUAUCGGCGCGAUAUUAUUAUUGUAUAAGUGCGACGAGAAAGGAAAAGAAAAACGUAUAAAUUUGCGGAUAUUUAAUCUAUUGCUCGCGGCUAGAACCUUGACCCACUAGAGCGUUUUAGUCUUCGUUCUUUUCCCUGAAAAUUGCGAUCAUUAUACUCGGGAAAGCGUCGAUUUUCUUGGUACUAUCGGUUACUUGCUGCUUCCGUUGGAAGGAACGGAGACUAGACGUUUUGAUGGGUCGAUCGGGAAUUAAGGAAAUUAUGCUUGCAUUACUCGACAUUCUUGAUGUGAGUCCGUUAACUCCUAAACUGAAGUGCAAUUGUAAAAAAAAAAAGGAAAAAAACAAGAAAAAAAAUGAUGACCGUCGUUGUCCGUUUGCUUGUUCGUCAAUCCGUGUAUUACGUGUCGACGACAAUGUGACGAAUGCGUGAGAUGUUCGAGCUUUUUCCGUUGCUUCGUACAGUUUUGUCUCCUUUUUUUUUCAUUUUUCAUCUUUUGCUUCUUCUUUCUUUUUUUCUUUUGAUAUUCGGACGCAUGUUGACUUGAAGUUAAUCCUUUAUGUAUGAUGGUAAUACGGCCGCGCAAACGGCGAGUCAACAAUAAGGACACGUGAUUUUUCAAACGAUAAGAAUAAUAAUCAAAAUAGGCAGCUACUUAGUAUAACCGCCGAACAUUGUGGAGAUUCCCGAGUAACACGAACGCAGGUUUAUCGUGGAAACGGAAUGUUUCUACGUGUUAACCGAUUUUAAUACUUGUAAUUUGUCAAAUAGUAGAAUAGUGGUUCUUAACCCACAACGUGUAAUCUUGUAUUUUUUGAAGUUUACGGAAGUGGUCUGUAAUUAAUUUUUUAUAUAAUACCGAGAAGAGGUAUAACGGUUAGGGAAAGCGCAAGAAAGAGAAAUUAAGCGAGAUCGUCCGUUUUAUUUGUCAUUUUCACUUUUUCCUUCUUUUUUACUCUACUUUUUAUUUACACCACUUUUUUUCGUUUCAUCGAAUGGUUUCGAAACAACUAAGAAUUACUGGCAUAAAGGGUUAAUUUAAGCGGAAAUGCUUCGCUCGUAACGUUGAUUACGAAAGGAGGCGUGGUCAAGUCAAAAUGCAACGUGUUUAAUCAGUUUCGAACGUCUCCUUCCGUGCAGGCAGUCUGAUUUCGCGUUUUUCUCCACCACUUUAUGUUCAAUGUAGGGAUUCAAAUAAUUACCGAUUAGAGAAAGCCGAAAAAAACGAAAAGUUUGUUUUAGACCGGAGAUGGUAGCGGCGGGGAACUCCGAUGAAACGAUACCGUAUCUCGUUUCAAAUAUUUUCGGCAAAUAAACGAGUUUUCUUUCGUGAUAGGCACUCGUCGUUUCACGGCGUUCCCUGCCGUCUGCUCGCCGAAUUCUAGUUAAAUAAUAAAAAAGGAAGAAACGAAGCGUUUUUUAAAUUAAACGAGAUAAACGAAUAACUAUGAUCGA